AUUGAACGCUGGCGGCAGGCCUAACACAUGCAAGUCGAGCGGAGCGGCGGACGGGUGAGUAAUGCCUAGGAAUCUGCCUGGUAGUGGGGGAUAACGUCCGGAAACGGGCGCUAAUACCGCCUCCUACAAGAUGAGCCUAGUGCGGAUUAGCUAGUUGGUGGGUUAAAGGCCUACCAAGGCGACGAUCCGUAACUGGUCUGAGAGUAUGAUCAGUCACACUGGAACUGAGACACGGUCCAGACUCCUACGGGAGGCAGCAGUGGGGAAUAUUGGACAAUGGGCGAAAGCCUGAUCCAGCCAUGCCGCGUGUGUGAAGAAGGUCUUCGGAUUGUAAAGCACUUUAAGUUGGGAGGCGUUACCAACAGAAUAAGCACCGGCUAACUUCGUGCCAGCAGCCGCGGUAAUUC
rnacentral:rRNA from 1 species